GGGUCCUAACGCCGCCGCUCACCCUCCGCUGCGCCCUCCCCGAGCGCGGCUCCAGGACCCCGUCGACCCGGAGCGCUGUCCUGGUGGACCGAGUCGCGGGCCUGGGCACGGAACUCACGCUCACUCCGAGCUCCCGACGUGCACACGGCUCCCAUCCGUUGUCUUCCGAGCGUCAGGCCGCCCCUACCCGUGCUUUCUGCUCUGCAGACCCUCUUCCUAGACCUCCGUCCUUUGUCCCAUCGCUGCCUUCCCCUCAAGCUCAGGGCCAAGCUGUCCGCCAGCCUCGGCUCCUCCGGGCAGCCCUCGCCCUGGGUGCGCCCCGGGGCAGGACCCCCAGCCCAGGCCCAGGGCCCGCCCCUGCCCUCCAGCCCUACACAUUGACCCGCUUUCCUGCGUCUCUCAGCCUAUCUGACCUUGUCUUUACCUCUGUGGGCAGCUCCCUUGUGAUCUGUUUAGUUCCCACCCCCCUUUAAGAAUUAAAUAGAGAAGCCAGACGCAAAACUACAGAUAUCGUAUGAGUCCACUUUUGUGAAGUGCCUAGAGUAGUCAGAAUUCACAGAGACAGAAGCAGUGGUCGCCAGGAAUGGGGAAGCAAGGCGGAGUUGGGCAGCUCGUGUUCAAUGGGUAGAGUUUCAGGCUGGGGUGAUGGAAAGGUGCUGGAAAUGAGUGGUAGUGAUGGCGGCACAACGGUGUGAAUCUACUUAAUCCCACUGAACUGUAUGCUGAAAAAUGGUUUAGACGGUGAAUUUUAGGUUAUGUAUGUUUUACCCCAAUUUUUAAAAAGCUAGUGAAAAGCUGGUAAAAAGAAAGAAAAGAGGCUUUUUUAAAAAGUUAAAUAUAUAAAAAGAGCAUCAUCAGUCCAAAGUCCAGCAGUUGUCCCUCCUGGAAUCCGUUGGCUUCCCUCCGGCAUUUUUGGCUCUUGCCUUUUAGGGUUGCCAGAUUAAAAGACAGGAUGCCCAGCUAGUUUGAAUUUUAGAUAAACAACGAAUAAUUUCGUAGCAUAAAUAUUUCCCAAGCUUAGUUUGGGACAUACUUAUGCUAAAAAACAUUAUUGGUUGUUUAUCUGAGAUUCAAAAUUAAGCAUUUUAUAUUUUAUUUGCUGCCUCUGGCCACCCUACUCUCUUCCUAACACUCUCUCCCUCUCCCAGUUUUGUCCGCCUUCCCUGCCUCCUCUUCUGGGGGAGUUAGAUUGAGUUGUAACAAGAACAUGCCACUGUCUCACUGGCUGCAGCGUGUGGUCCCCUUACCAGAGUGAGGAUGCGAAGAGAAGGUGGCUGUCUGCAAACCAGGAAGAGAGCCCUCACCAGGAACCCGUCCAGCUGCCACCUUGAACUUGGACUUCCAAGCCUCCAGAACUGUGAGGGAUAAAUGUAUGAUUUUAAAGUCGCCCAGUGUGUGGUAUUUUGUUUUGACUAAUACAACCUGAAAACAUUUUCCCCUCACUCCACCUGAGCAAUAUCUGAGUGGCUUAAGGUACUCAGGACACAACAAAGGAGAAAUGUCCCAUGCACAAGGUGCACCCAUGCCUGGGUAAAGCAGCCUGGCACAGAGGGAAGCACACAGGCUCAGGGCUCUGCUAUUCAUUCUUUGUGUGACCCUGGGCAAGCCAUGAAUGGAGCUUCAGUCACCCCAUUUGUAAUGGGAUUUAAUUGUGCUUGCCCUGCCUCCUUUUGAGGGCUGUAGAGAAAAGAUGUCAAAGUAUUUUGUAAUCUGGCUGGGCGUGGUGGCUCAUGCCUGUAAUCCCAGCACUUUGGUAGGCUGACGCGAGAGGACUGCUUGAGCCCAAGAGUUUGAGAUCAGCCUGGGCAAUAUUGUGAGAUUCCAUCUCUACAAAAAUAAAAUAAAAUAGCCAGUCAUGGUGUCACACACCUGUAGUCCCAGCUACAUGGGAGGCUGAGGCGGGAGGAUCACUUGAGCUUGGGAGAUUGAGGCUGCAGUGAGCUAUGAUUGUACCACUGCACUCCAGGCUGGGCGACAGAGAGAGACCCUGUCUCAGGGAAAAAAAAAAGUACUUUGUAAUCUGUAAGGUUUAUUUCAACACACACAAAAAAAGUGUAUAUGCUCCACGAUGCCUGUGAAUAUACACACACACCACAUCAUAUACCAAGCCUGGCUGUGUCUUCUCACAAAUGCACUGCUAGGCACCACCCCCAGUUCUAAAUCACACCAGCCAGUUCACCCUCCAGAUGGUUCACCCUCAACUUCAUAAAAGUUCCCUACCUAAUCUACUGACAGCCUCAUCCCCGACCUAAUUUUAAAGAUUUCCUAGGAGCUGCAAUGGGAAUCCUGGACCUCAGCCUGGACAAAGAACAGCUGCAGGUCAUUCUCAUGUGUGGACACGGAAGCCCUGCCUGCCUUUGCUGGCCAGCUGGGCUGAGUGGGCCUGGGAAAUUAAGGCUGCAGGGUUGGUCCCAGGCAGUCUUGCUGAAGCUUGCCACAUCCCCCAGCCUCCUCGAUUUGCCAGGAUCCAAGAGCAUGGACUUUAGGAAUUCCUGGUGGAGGAGUGAAGAAAAUGUGACAGGGUGUCCUAAGCCCCGAUCUACAGGAAGAAAACUGGAAAUAAGACUGAGGACUUAGUUUAAGAUGUUCCUACUCAGCCUCUAGCUUUUGUGCUACAGUUCCGGGAACAGACUCCUCUCUCCUGAAAACCAUUUCCCUCUGCAGCAUUAAAUUUCACCAAGAUGUCUUGCUUGUGGGAAAGACUUCCAAGGAUGCCUGGAGAGAGGAGGAUGGAAAUGUCCUGCUCUCUAAACAGAUAGACAGAUGCAGCCAGACAGAAAAUAGUUUAUCUUGCUGAGGUUUCUAAUGUAUUUGAAAGAGGCCUGGGUCUAGAAGUCUACCCAGAGGGCUCUGUGUUGUGCACGCAAAGAUAAGAACCUUCCCUGUGGGAGUUCCAGAGCCAGUUUUCAUAAACACCCAUCGGUGACUGUGUUCAGAGUGAGUUCACACCAUCCUGACCUGCCCUGAGUUAGACCUUACAUGGUCUUCCUCCUCUAGGAAGCCUCUGCAGCCCAGGAACCUCCCCUUAUCUGAAAUGAACAGCAUUUGAAGCUUCACCAGACAGACCAGACAGCUUAGCCCUCGUGUUGUGCUAUGUGGGUUGUUCUCUGAGAGGCAGGAGAGCAUAGUGGUUACUAGGAAGGGAAGGACUUUGGGACUAGACUGCCUCGGCUGGAGUCCUCUUUCUGCUUCAUAGCCACGUGAUCCUAGGCAUGUUACCUGUGCCUCAGUUUUCACUCUAUCAAUAUGUAAUAACUGAAUCUGUCUUUGUGGUGAGGAUUCAGUGAGUUAACAUAUUUGAAGUGCUUAAAAAUGAGGCUUGUGUCCAUAGAUUAAUGAGUGAAUACACAAAUGGUGAUAUGGACAUACAGUGGAGUAUUAGUCAUAAAAAGGAAGGCAGAGCUGAUCCAUGGCACCAUGUGACUGAACCUCAAAAGCAUUAGGUUAAGUGGAAGAAGCCAGACACAGGUCACCUAUUGUGUAAUUCCAUUUAUAGGAAAUAUACAGAAUAUGUAAAUCUGUGGAGAAAGAAAGCCGAUUUCCAGGGGCUAAGGGGAGGGGAGAAUGGGAAGUGGCUGCUUCAUGGGUACAAGGUUUCAUUUUGAGCUGAUGAAAAUGUUUUGGAACUACAUAGAGAUAGUGUUGGCACAACAUGGUGAAUGUACUGAAUGCCACUGAUUGUUCACUUUAAAAUGGUCAAACUUAUGUGAAUUUCACCUCCAUUAAAAAAAAAAAAAAGGA